rnacentral:ribozyme from 2 species
GUAUUAAUGCAACUGAACAAUAAGUUCAACGGUCACAAGUCCGAAAGUAAAGAUGCAGAGUGGUAC